UAAUACCACUUUUUGUAGCAUUAUGGAAGCUUUUGGCCUUUUUAACAUUUGAAGACGUCAUUGUGCUUCCACUCAGCUGCAUGUCACAGUACACAUCACACACACACACACACACACACACACACACACACACACAGAGCGGUUUUCACAUCUUCACGUCUUUUCUGUAUCUAUUCACUGGGUGGGUUACAGAUCAUGUGCAGUAUUUUUGCAUUUACUUACAAGAAGCCCUUGCUUAUGCUUCUUUCUUAGCAUUUUCUUGCAUUAGGUGUUAUCAACAGUAACUCGUCCAACAGCUUCACACAUACACUAGCUCACCACAAAACACCACUUCCUCAGUGACAGGAAUCUGUUGGUGUGCAUGCACUUAUUGUCAUAGACAUAUAUAGUAAGGGUAUAGCUUGCAGUUCUUUGAUAGGCUGUUAAUCUCUUUGGCUUGGAUUAAAAUGAUUGGUUGCAGUCAUCAGUGUUUACAAGACAAGGAAGUGUCAAAAGGGAGAAAUAUUUUUGACUUUAGGCUGAGACUUCAGUUGGUACUGAUCCCCCCCAGACUGACACAGCAGUACAGAGGCGAGCUGGUCCGAGCAGACAAAAUGAAGAUCAUUCUCCUGACAUCCAUCAUCUUCACUGUAGCUCCUGUUUAUGGGGUGCAAGGAGUCUUUUCUAAAGGCAACCACAGGACCAGCCACUUGGCAGCCUCUGGCCUUCAGCCCUGUGAGGAAAAGAGCGACAUAGGUAGAUAUGACACAUUUGUCAAGAGACACAUCCUGAAAGGGUCCUUUGACAGAAACUCUCUGGAGGAAUGGCAGAGGUGAAUUAUAAGUUUAACUACACUGGUUUAACUCUGUGGUAUAAUUCAAUAACGGCUUUAUGGACAAAAAUAGCACAACAUCAGAAUUGAAGCCAUGUAACAUUGUGACAGCUAGUUGGACUUGACAAUGUCAAUACUAUGCAGUGAAACAUUGAUCUCCUUACAGAUACUUGAAAGCCAACGGUCUCUGUGGCAGAACUCGAGUGCAGUCCUUCAUUGAGGCUAAUGAACGAGAUGUCCAGCGGAUCUGUAGUCCUGAUGGCCGGCAUGUGCAAGGUAACUUGUGCAUCAGCGGGUCAACAAUGACUAUAUAUGAAGUUUACACAAACAACUUGGGUUGUGAAGUCAAAGAUGUUAAACAUUGCCAAAAGAAGGUGAUCGUAGCAUGUAAUAAAAUUGAAUAUAAAAAUGUCUGCCGUCCAGUCCAUUAUGAGGGAACAGCAUUCCAAGAAACAAACAUACCCUGCACGAAUGCCUUAGAGUAAGAAUGCCCUUGAUUCCAGCUGUCAGGCUUAUUAUUCCCUGACAUCUAAAUUAUCAGGAAAUUAAUAAUUUUUGCUUACAAUUUUUUUUUCUUAAGCGACACAUUCUACUUGUGUAUCUUUGAGGCCUGCUACCACAACAUUUUGUAAGAUGAGCAUUAUGAGCAAAAAUAAACUAAUGUAAAACGGAGACAGCUAAUUACAAUUAAUUUACUCAAAUUCAUUUCUCUCAUUAAAUAUUUUUUUUUACUAUGACUGAGGCAUUUUAAGCAAAAGUUUUACAACCUCGACAAUAAAUGUAUGCUAACCUUAAAUGUAUUUUUUUUUAGCAUUCAGCUGUAUUGUAAUGCUACUUGUUUUGCUUUGUAUACUGUCAAAUAAAGAACUUAAACCUGCAUUAAUUAACUUUAAAAUUAACUAUAAAUAAGAUGACAAAUGUAAAUUUUAAAUGCGGACACUGAUCACCAAACUUUUAUAUCAUUGUUUGAUUUUCCAGCAUAUUUGCUGAUGGUCCAGCAGGUCUGAUAAACCUGAAUACUACCAAACACCAAAUGACAAACAAUGUAUGUCAUGACUUAGUCUACUGUUUGGCUUUUGCUGAGAACAGUGGCCAUGCUAGAAAUGAUCACUCAUACACAUAGUAACAUGAUGCAUUGUUAAAAUAAUAAUAUUGAUUAGUGCAGCUUUAAAUACCACAGGAAAGUCCAAGUUCAGACAUUUGCUCGUUAUUUAAAAAAACUAAAAAUAAAAUAGGACAUUGUUUACACCAGUGGGAUUUUCAUCUAGGUGUUUUCCUAAAUUGUUCAUUUUAAAAUAAAAGUAUGUAGGAUUUACUGGCAUCUACCCCUGAAGUUGCAGAUUGCAACCAACUGAUUACAGCUCAGUCUUCAGAGCCUGUAGGAGAAACUAUGGUGGCCAUAAAAAUUGGUUUGUCCGUUGAGUUACUGUUGAAACGUGGUGGUUCAUAUGGCGGUCUCCGUAAAAGAGCACCCGCUCGCUCUGUAAAUAAAAUGAGAUUGCAGAGAUGCUACAAUUACAAUGGGUCUCCACCACCACAGCAACAGACUAUUCCAGCUCAGGGAAAUCCCUUGUUUUGGUGGGUAAAGACAGCCUAAAAAAUAAGACACAGGAUGAACAUGUCAUACAUACUGUAACUGUGACAAAAGUUCAAUAUUUUGAGCAAGCUGUUAUGCAUAACAGGGACACACAGUUUAUUGUUUGACUAUCUCAUUUGAUUUCACAGCAAUAUGUCCUGUAAAUGUGAACAUAUCGUCAGUAUAAACUGGCAUGUAGAUGAGAAAUACUGCUGCAUCUUCUUUGUGUUUGUAAUUAUUGUGUUGGUUCAGUAAUCCUGAUGUCCUUGAGUUCCCGUGAAUGUAUUUCUUUUACUGUUUGGCAAUAUAUAUCUGAUCAAUAUUUGCUACAGCAUAAGCAUACACAUAAAUGUCACACCUUUUAUGUGUCCUUCAAGGUUCGUUGGAAAUCUGUAAUGUACUGAUCAGAAUCAUUGGUGGAAACUUAUUUACAAUUUAUUAACAUUGAUACAAAUCUCACUUUCACCUACUGAUAAUUGUUUGUUCCAUUUCGAUGCUAUUAUAAUCUAUUUUUCCAGCUAGAGUUUUGGAACUCUCUAUACUGUAAAAGAUGCAAAUAAAAGGCUUGAGAAAUUCAAUUGGUUUUAUCAAAAAAAGGCAAACCACACAUCUUGUACACCACUUUUUCAUUCUCACAUUUUAGGUUUUAAUAGAAAAAACACAAAAAAAGUAAAAAAAUAUAUAUUAUUAAUAAAUUAUUUUAUGAUUUGACAAAAGAGGUUGAUUGUAUUGUUUUUGAGGAGAAGUAUAAGCUCUUAAAUGACAUAAUAUUUAUAAUUCUGAUCAGCUACAUACAUAGCUACAUACCUAAAACAGUUGUAAUAAUUGGAAUCAAUUAAAGGGGAAAAUUUAGCAUUUGAAUACUAAUAAUUUCAGAUCUGUUAAAAUAAAUCACAUUAUGACUGUAAUGACAAAUAAAUCAUAUCUUUAUUUAUUGUUGACUGAAAACCACUGAAGGUAAUCAGGCAAUAUCAUGCAUUGAUGUGUCCUUUUUGGUCUAUUCUAUUAAUAAAUCUAUAUCAUUCCCUGAAGUAUUUUAGAACAGGGUGACACAGUAUUUCAUCAGGAAAAAACCCAGCAAGUAGGAGAUGUCGGUAAAAGAAAAGCAGAAAAAAAGAAAAGAACUCUCUGGUUCUAACUCUCUUUUUGCUGGUCCUGCUCAUCUGCUUUAGCAUAAACCUGACAGAGAAGAAGAUUUAUGGCUAAUAAAUUUUUUUUAAAAAUCAUUACUGUAAAUGUUUAAUACAAAUUAAAACAUUUACAGUA
ensembl:lncRNA